rnacentral:rRNA from 1 species
UGAGGAAUAUUGGUCAAUGGACGAGAGUCUGAACCAGCCAAGUAGCGUGAAGGAUGACUGCCCUAUGGGUUGUAAACUUCUUUUAUAUGGGAAUAAAACAGGGUAUGCAUACCCUCUUGUAUGUACCAUAUGAAUAAGGAUCGGCUAACUCCGUGCCAGCAGCCGCGGUAAUACGGAGGAUCCGAGCGUUAUCCGGAUUUAUUGGGUUUAAAGGGAGCGUAGGUGGAUUGUUAAGUCAGUUGUGAAAGUUUGCGGCUCAACCGUAAAAUUGCAGUUGAAACUGGCAGUCUUGAGUACAGUAGAGGUGGGCGGAAUUCGUGGUGUAGCGGUGAAAUGCUUAGAUAUCACGAAGAACUCCGAUUGCGAAGGCAGCUCACUGGACUGCAACUGACACUGAUGCUCGAAAGUGUGGGUAUCAAACAGGAUUAGA